AUGAGACUGAGUAUCAAUGUUACAGCAUUUGUCCUCCUAGGCCUUACUCAGGAUCCUGAUGUGUAAAAUGCAUUAUUUGUCAUACGGUUUACUCACAUACUUUAUGACUAUGGUGGGGAACCUGCUCAUUGUGGUGACUAUUAUUGCCAACCCCACCUUAGGCUCCCCAGUGUACUUCUUCCUUGCCUGCUUGUCAUUUAUAGAUGCUGUGUAUUCCACCACCAUUUCUCCCAAAUUGAUUGUAGGCUAUCUCCAUGAUAAAAAGACUGUUUCCUUCCAAGCUUGCAUGGGUCAGCCAUUUUAUAGACCACUUAGUUGGCGGUGCUGAGGUCUUCCUUCUGUUGGUGAUGGCCUAUAAUCGCUAUGUAGCCAUCUGUAAGCCACUGCACUAUUUCACCAUCAUGAAUUGACAGGUUUGCAUCCUUCUGUUGGUGGUGGCUGUCACUGCAGGUUUUGUGCAUUCUGUGUUUCAAAUUUUAGUUGCGUACAGUCUCCUUUUCUGUGGUCCCAAUAUCAUUGACCACUUUUUCUGUGACAUGUACCCAUUAUUGGAACUGGCACACACUGACACCUACUUUAUAGGCCUCACUGAGGUUGCCAAUGGUGGAGGAAUCUGUAUGGUCGUGUUCAUCCUUCUACUAAUCUCCUAUGGGGUCAUCCUAAUCUCCCUUAAAACUUAUAGUCAGGAAGGGAGGCAUAAAGCCCUGUCUACCUGCAGCUCCCACAUUACCGUGACUGUCCUGUUUUUUGUUCCCUGUAGUUUCAUGUAUGUUAGACCUGUUUCAAACUUUCCUAUUAAUAAAUUAAUUACUGUGUUUUAUACAGUUAUCACACCCAUGUUGAAUCCAUUAAUAUACACAUUGAGAAACUGAGAGAUGAAAAAUGCUAUAGAAAACCUCUGGUGUAAA
rnacentral:lncRNA from 1 species